rnacentral:rRNA from 1 species
AAGACCGCGAGGUAGAGCAAAUCUCAAAAAAACAAAUCUCAGUUCAGACUGCAGGCUGCAACUCGCCUGCACGAAGUCGGAAUUGCUAGUAAUCGUAGGUCAGCAUACUACGGUGAAUACGUUCCCGGGCCUUGUACACACCGCCCGUCAAACCAUGAGAGUUAGCAACACCCGAAGUCGGUAGUCUAACCGCAAGGAGGACGCCGCCGAAGGUGGGGUUGAUGAUUAGGGUUAAGUCGUAACAAGGUACC